CUGAUCAGGUGGAGGGAGAGAAAGGAAAGGAACAGAUUUCACUGGCCAGUUGCAACCUCUGUCUGGUCAAUGGUUUUCCUCAUGGGGCAUUAAUAUGCCCCUUUAUCUCCCCCUCUUGCCUCCAGGUUGAGCAUGGUUGGGCGCUGAGCUUUGCUGGAGUGUCCUAUUCUUCACAGGUAAGGGAAGCUCCAGAUGGGAAGACAGAAGCCAGUCAAGGGGAAACAGGAAGAGGCUCCACUGGGUUGUCCCUUAGGAAGCCUGCUGCAUGGGAGCAAGUGGCUGGCAGCUCAGAGCAGCACAGCCAUGUCACCACCCAAGGGGCGCAUACAGGGAGGUCCUGAACAAUCAUCUCCUUGGGCCUCAUCACAAUCCCAGGAGACAGUGGGCAGCACUCAUUUGGGUUUGUUCCUGGUCCAAUCCAUGUCCCCAGAAUUACUGCAUGAAGAGCCAUUACCAUGGACUGAAAAGGCCAGUGUGGAAGGCACCUUAUAUCCAUUACCUCUCAUCUUCACUGUGACCCUGCAAGUUGUGGACUGAGAUUGCCGUGAGCGAUGGUAGCGUAGGUAUACACAUGGAUGCACCCUGAAAGGCAAACACAGUAAGUCACGCUGGGGUGGCCUCUGGGUGUGCUUGCUCUCUGCUCCUGCCUGGGGGCCCUGUGCAUCACAGAAGCACAGGGCUAGGGGUGCUGCUGGGGUUCCUGUUUCUGGGAUCUCGGAUCUGAGCUCUGUGGCCAAACCCCUGUUCUCUGCUGAAAUCUGUGAAAUGCUUCUCGGUCCCAGACUGGUUCCACCACGCAGGUGGAUUUGAAGUGGAGUUUGGGGCAGGGUGGGCAGACAGGAGUGUCUCUGCAUGCAUGGAGAUGUUGCUGAGCACUGCUGGGAUACAGGGGGAGACUGAGCAAACCAUUUUUAUUUUGGCAAUGAUUAUAAUGAAGUCAAACCAUUUCCUGCCUUCUGUUAAGCCCAUUCAAUCUUCUUGCUUUGGAUUCAAUCAAAUUCAGUCCAUCUGAGCAGCAGCACUGUAGUUAUUUGGUUCUCUCAGAGUUGGCUCUCUGCCUUGAGUGCCUCUCUAUCCCCAAAUGACCAUGUGACCUUGGGCAAGUCACUUCAUGUAUCUCAGCAUUGUCUGUAAAAUGGGUCAAAUGAUAGGACCACCCCCACUGGGGUAUGUGAGGGGCAGAGCCCAAGAACAGGUCCUGUGCACGGCACACAGCAUGCAUUAGUGUCAGCUUGCCAGUGCCACUGGGCGUGCCAGGUCCCCUCA